UACGUAGGGCGCAAGCGUUUAUCCGGAAUUAUUGGGCGUAAAGAGCUCGUAGGCGGUUUGUCGCGUCUGCCGUGAAAGUCCGGGGGCUCAACUCCGGAUCUGCGGUGGGUACGGGCAGACUAGAGUGAUGUAGGGGGAGACUGGAAUUCCUGGUGUAGCGGUGAAAUGCGCAGAUAUCAGGAGGAACACCGAUGGCGAAGGCAGGUCUCUGGGCAUUAACUGACGCUGAGGAGCGAAAGCAUGGGGAGCGAACAGG
rnacentral:rRNA from 1 species